rnacentral:rRNA from 1 species
CAGCAGUAGCCGCGGGAAUACGGAGGGUGCAAGCGUUAAUCGGAAUUACUGGGCGUAAAGCGCACGCAGGCGGUCUGUUAAGUCAGAUGUGAAAUCCCCGGGCUCAACCCGGGAACUGCAUUUGAAACUGGCAGGCUUGAGUCUUGUAGAGGGGGGUAGAAUUCCAGGUGUAGCGGUGAAAUGCGUAGAGAUCUGGAGGAAUACCGGUGGCGAAGGCGGCCCCCUGGACAAAGACUGACGCUCAGGUGCGAAAGCGUGGGGAGCAAACAGGAUUAGAUACCCCGGUAGUCCCUGUCUCUUAUAC